GACGAACGCUGGCGGCGUGCCUAAUACAUGCAAGUCGAACGCAGUGGGGACGGGUGAGUAACACGUGGGUAACCUCCCAUCAGAGGGGAUAACACUUGGAAACAGGUGCUAAACCGAUACUGAUGGAUGGACCGGCGGUGCAUUAGCUAGUUGGUGUGGUAAGGGCGCACCAAGGCCACGAUGCAUAGCCGUCCUGAGAGGGUGAUCGGCCCCGAUGUGACUGAGACACGACCCAGACUCCUCGGCGGGGAAGCAGUAGGGACUCUUCGGCAAUGGACGAAAGUCUGACCGGGCGACGCAGCGUGGGUGAAGAAGGUUUUCGGAUCGUACAUCUCUGUUGUUAGAGAAGCGGUAUCUAACGAGAAAGCCACGGCUAACUACGUGCCAGCCGCCGCGGUAAUUC
rnacentral:rRNA from 1 species